ACACACACACACACACCAGUUCACUCGAGUCUCCAGGUCUGGCACUUGGGUUGUUGGCUGGUUUGACGGACCAGUUGAGUCUGAGCAGUCGACGCGGUUGGUACGUGAAAUUCGGCCUUCAUCCACGUGUGUACUGCGACUAUAAGCUUUUAUAUUCGCUUUGGCAGACGGAAACUGCGUUCAUCUUCUCUCUCACGAAUCGACCAACAGAUUCUUGCGUCAACAUUUCUUUCCUUUAUUUUGGGGGUUUCUUUUCUUACAGUUGGUGCUAGAGUUUGAUGGGUUCGACUCCGACGAGUUGAUGAGUGUGACAUUUGAGUUCAAUUCUUUGUUGGUUUUGUAUUAACGUGGGAACUUGAGAUAGAAUCGCUAGUGUGGCUAGUGAGUUGGGUUCAUUUCUGGUCCUGCCGACGUUUCGUUGGUUUUCGCAACAGCCAUGACUGACGUCAUCAUGGUGGAUGGCAGCGUCGGAGCUUCCAAUAAUACCAACAACAAUUUACCUCUCAACAUGAACAACAGUGUCAUCAGCGUGACUAUGGCGGCAGCGGCAGCGGCGGCGGCAGCAGCUGCUGCUGGCGGCACAACUUCGCCAACGUUGGGAGGCACGUCGCCCGUCUCUGCCGCGGCCGCGGCCGCCGCGAUGAUGAUGAUGCAACCGCCAGCCUCUUGUUCCUCGUCGUCUUCGUCUUCGUCGUCGACGUCGGCCUCGGCGGCCGCCGCUGCCGCCGCCGCUGCAGCGGCCAACACGCAAAGUGUCGCCGAUUAUUUGGCGCAGCUUCUCAAAGACAAGAAACAAUUGGCUGCCCUGCCCAACGUAUUUCAUCAUGUCGAACGACUGCUCGACGAAGAAAUUGGAAAGGUGCGCGGCAAUCUGUUUCAAAUCAAUGGGACUGAGAAAAAACCCAUGGUGCUUCCGGAUGCUGUUGGUGCCGCUGUGAAUCUCUCAGAAAAAGUCUACGUUCCUGUCAAAGAGUUUCCCGACUUUAAUUUCGUCGGUCGCAUUUUGGGACCACGUGGCAUGACAGCUAAACAACUUGAACAAGAAACGGGUUGCAAGAUUAUGGUGAGGGGGCGUGGAUCUAUGCGCGACAAGAAAAAGGAGGAACAAAAUCGGGGCAAGCCAAAUUGGGAACACUUGAACGACGAACUUCACGUUCUCAUCACAGUUGAAGACACAGAAAACCGUGCGAAAGUUAAGCUGCAGCGCGCCGUGGAUGAAAUAAGAAAGCUUCUUGUUCCAGCCCAGGCGGACGGAGAAGACGAACUAAAAAAACGACAGCUGAUGGAAUUGGCGAUCAUAAAUGGAACUUACCGAGAUCCAUCAGCCAAACUUGGUCAACCUGGAAGUGGUGUUGGAGGAGGUGUCGUUAGUGGAGUUGGCGUGGGAGGUGGCAAAGGGGCUGAUCUGCUCAGCAUAUGGUUCUAUGAGACACAGAUGCUUCAGCAGUUCGCGAGCCGUCCUCCUUCUCCCGCCAUCAAUUCGUAUGCCCCUCGUUUGUUGCAGCCAGGAGUUGGGCUAGGCUCACCAGGUGGACUACGAAAUCCUUCAGCGGGUGCCUCACAGCUUGAGUACUAUUUCAACCAAGCGUCAUCGAAAGAUUCGUGGAACGGUAUAGCUGGAGCUCCUCUCAUUCUCUCGCCACGAGGGAUGCAACAUUCUUCAGCCGCUUCAUCCAUGGCAGCUCUUCUCAAUUCAGCUGCAUCGGGAGGACCACCUCCACUUAUCAGUGCUGCAGACGCCGCUGCUGGAUUGCUCUAUUCACCUUAUGCUGCCGCUGCUGCCGCUGAAUAUUCCAACUACGCAGCUGCGGCCGCCGCCGCCGCUGGCCUGUCAUCUCAACUGUUGGCAGAAUACCAGACGGGCGUGCCGUCAUCCAACGACGGCACCGCUGGAGGCGCUAGUGGGAAGCUGAGACGCCAUCUGGGCUCGCAAGGGCGAGAGCAUCCUUACCAAAGGAACGACCUCAACUAACAAGCCAACCAACAACUACCACCCAAAAACAAACCAAUCAAAAACAAACAAAAAUCCAACCCAACCAUCCAGCAGUUGUCCCAGAUAUUCAGGCCAGGUGCUUAACGGUGUGUAGUGCUCUACUUACGAAAUCCCGCGGCCAAUGGCCUGCGAAGAACAUUGGCUAUUGAUCUGGAGACCCUGUCCUGCAUCAGCAAGUCGCUCUUACAACCGCCGCUGCAAACCGCGUAAUACUUUGAACAAGGUCUACUUCUGCUAGCAAGGAAUAGUAAUUUAAUUUUAUCUGCUUCUAAUCCGAACGUCUUUUCUUUAUAAAGUUAUCGUGAGAUUUCGUGAACUUGAUCGUACCCCAAAUGUGUGUUUUUUCCCAUUUAUCAUGUAAAUAUUUCAAACGUUGCCUUGACCAGCUACACCUUAUUUGAUUCUUCCUACCUCAGUAUCUUAAAAAAAAAACAAAAAAACUAGUUGGAUCUAAUUUAUAUCCAGAUGUACUGCAUUACUCUUUAGUUGAACGAUCAAGUUUACUCGAUCCUUACGAUUCAGUGUUUUUGAACCUGUCGAAUUGUCAGCUCCUGAGUUGUGAAAUCGACAAUCUAGUUUUCCGGAAGGCUUCGAUUAAUUACUAAAAAUGCGGGAGCAAACCAAAAAACAAUAGCCGUUUAUCAACUUGGGCAAUUUGUUUUUGACCAAUGACCAGUUCAUCACUGAGUCUGUGGACUAAUAUGACAAUAAUUUCAAAAGGAGAUAAAUUAAAUUUCUCAUCAAUCCGUUCUACAUAAAAUUAUACGUUAUUUACAUCUUCGACUGUUCUUCACUUGUAGUAAUUGCAAGUCAGCAAAAGUAACUUUUUGAAAUCUCCUCUGCACACUGUUAGCUGUAGUAUGAACCCGUAUUUCUUAUAUGGACGGUGUUUUUUUGUUGUUCUAUUUACCGUCUUUGCAACUGAAAUCAAUUAAGCGACCUUCCCAAACUAUGGUUGAAAUACAACCAGCAAAUAUUUCCCAUCAAGAUUUAUCUGUAUCUUCGCCGACUCCUUACCUACAUACAAAUUAUUAUUUAUAACACCCAAUAAUAAUUUUGCAAAAAAUGUGCCUUGUUUGUUAGAUCGGUUUGAUUUAUCUGCAAAGUGAAACGUGUAGCUAUUUUUCUACGUUGGUGCUCGUAAUAAUGCUGAUUGCAAACGCGUGCCUUUACAUACACUAUGUGCCCAUAAGAUUGCUUACACCUUAAACUAGGCCUGCAGUACUUACCACAACGACUUUGUGCCAUAAACUUGAGCCAUUUACCCUUUGUAUGAAUUUAUCUACUGUAUUUGUUACAUUUCAUAUAAAUAAACUUUUCCUUUUCCAUGUA